GACGAACGUUGGCGGCGUGCUUAACACAUGCAAGUCGAACGGAAAGGCCCUGCUUUUGGGGGGUGCUCGAGUGGCGAACGGGUGAGUAACACGUGAGUAACCUGCCCUUGACUUUGGGAUAACUUCAGGAAACUGGGGCUAAUACCGGAUAGGAGCUCCUGCUGCAGGGGGGGGGUGGGAAAGUUUCGGCGGUUGGGGAUGGACUCGCGGCUUAUCAGCUUGUUGGUGGGGUAGUGGCUUACCAAGGCUUUGACGGGUAGCCGGCCUGAGAGGGUGACCGGCCACAUUGGGACUGAGAUACGGCCCAGACUCCUACGGGAGGCAGCAGUGGGGAAUAUUGCACAAUGGGCGGAAGCCUGAUGCAGCAACGCCGCGUGCGGGAUGACGGCCUUCGGGUUGUAAACCGCUUUCGCCUGUGACGAAGCGUGAGUGACGGUAAUGGGUAAAGAAGCACCGGCUAACUACGUG
rnacentral:rRNA from 1 species